GAAUCGGGGACGGAGUACGUAGGCGAUUGAGGCGGCGGAGGGUGAGAAACGUAGGGCAAACCGGAGUAUCUUGGCGGAUGGGGAGGGACAUUUGUGUAAUAAUAGUUAGGAGGGGCAAAAUGGUAAUCAGGCGGUGGAGGAAGGGGACGUUCGCGAAUCCCGAGUUUCACCCGAAUCUUGCCCUGGGGACGACCCGAGGGUCGGAGGAGAGGGAAGGUUCGGAUCUUGGAACGGUCAUCCGGGUCGGGUAAUUCUUUGAGUUCGACACGGAGAGUGGCGACUAACGGCUUAGGUGUUUCCGAUGGCUUGGAGUGAAAAAUCUCGAGGGUUAAAACGAC
rnacentral:lncRNA from 1 species